AUUAGGCUUUUAAUUGAGGUCUUGUAUGAAUGGCCGGACAAGAAGCUAACUGUCUCGAGAGUAAAAAUUGAAAUUGACUUUCAGGUGAAAAGGCUUGAAUAUUUUAAAGGGACGAUAAGACCCUAUAAAGCUUAAUAAUUUAUAUAUAUUUAAAUAAUUUAUUAGUAUAAUAUAAUUUAAUUUAUAAAUUAUUUCGUUGGGGCGACGGUAAUAUAAUUUGUAACUGUUUAAGUAUUUAAUUCAAAAAUAUUUGUGUUUAGUGAUCUGUUGUUGACAAUUAAAAGUUAAAGUUACUUUAGGGAUAACAGCGUUAUUUAUUUUGAGAGUUCAUAUCGACAAAGAAGUUUGCGACCUCGAUGUUGAAUUAAAAUUUUAUCAUGGCGUAGCAGUUAAGAUAGUAGGUCUGUUCGACCUUUAAAAUUUUA
rnacentral:rRNA from 1 species